GGCCCAUCUUUGAAGUAGAGUAGAUUAGUGGGAUCAGCUGACCGUACUAAUCUAUUCUACUUCAAGUUUCUGCUC
rnacentral:pre_miRNA from 1 species